UACAGAGGGUGCAAGCGUUGUUCGGAAUUAUUGGGCGUAAAGGGCGCGUAGGCGGUGCGGUAAGUCUGUAGUGAAAUCUCUGGGCUCAACUCAGAGUCUGCUGCAGAAACUGCCGUGCUUGAGUGUGGGAGAGGUGAGUGGAAUUCCCGGUAUAGCGGUGAAAUGCGUAGAUAUCCGGAGGAAUACCAAAGGCGAAGGCAGUGUCCUGGGGAGUGUCUGACGCUCAGGCGCGAAAGCUAGGGGAGCGAACAGG
rnacentral:rRNA from 1 species